UUUCCGGUUGAUCCUGCCGGACCUGACUGCUAUCGGAUUGAUACUAAGCCAUGCGAGUCUUUGUAGUAAUACAAGGCAGACGGCUCAGUAACACGUAGUCAACCUACCCUAUGGACAAGAAUAAUCUCGGGAAACUGGGCAUAAUUCUUGAUAGAUCAUAAUGCCUGGAAUGGUUUAUGGUUAAAAUGAUUCGUCGCCAUAGGAUGGGACUGCGGCCUAUCAGCUUGUUGGUGAGGUAAUGGCCCACCAAGGCGAUUACAGGUACGGGCUCUGAGAGGAGAAGCCCGGAGAUGGGUACUGAGACACGGACCCAGGCCCUAUGGGGCGCAGCAGGCGAGAAAACUUUGCAAUGUGCGAAAGCACGACAAGGUUAAUCCGAGUGAUUUCUGCUAAAGAAAUCUUUUGCCAGUCAUAAAACCACUGGUGAAUAAGGGGUGGGCAAGUUCUGGUGUCAGCCGCCGCGGUAAAACCAGCACCUCAAGUGGUCAGGAUGAUUAUUGGGCCUAAAGCAUCCGUAGCCGGCUUUGUAAGUUUUCGGUUAAAUCCAUGUGCUCAACGCAUGGGCUGCCGAAAAUACUGCAUGGCUAGGGAGUGGGAGAGGUAGACGGUACUCAGUAGGAAGGGGUAAAAUCCUUUGAUCUAUUGAUGACCACCUGUGGCGAAGGCGGUCUACCAGAACACGUUCGACGGUGAGGGAUGAAAGCUGGGGGAGCAAACCGGAUUAGAUACCCGGGUAGUCCCAGCUGUAAACGAUGCAGACUCGAUGAUGCAUUGGCAUAAUAGCCAAUGCAGUGUCGCAGGGAAGCCGUUAAGUCUGCCGCCUGGGAAGUACGUACGCAAGUAUGAAACUUAAAGGAAUUGGCGGGGGAGCACCACAAGGGGUGAAGCCUGCGGUUCAAUUGGAGUCAACGCCGGGA
rnacentral:rRNA from 1 species